AAAUUGCUAAACCUUUGGACUGUGCUAAGUCCCCUGCUUCCCAGUACAAUUGAGUCCAGUUUCAGAUCUUCAAUAGAAUCCAGAAGUUUCUCUCUUGUAUUACCUCAAUCAAAUUGGGUCCUUUUCGACCCUCUGAGACUCAAAUAG